rnacentral:rRNA from 1 species
AUCACCUGCUGAAUUUAAGCAUAUAAGUAAGCGGAGGACAAGAAACUAAACAGGAUCCCCAUAGUAAUGGCGAAUGAACCGGGAUAAACUCAGCAUGGAAAUUGGGGCCUUUGGCUUUGACUUGUAAUCUGGUGAGGCAUUGCCAACAGAGGCGCAUAUGUAAGUCUCUUGGAAAAGAGCAUCAACGAAGGUGAGAGUCCUGAUUGUCAUGUGCAGCCCCCCUGUGCACGGUGUGCCUUCUAAGAGUCACGUUCCUUGGGAUUGGAGCGCAAAUUGGGUGGUAACUUUCAUCUGAAGUUAAACAAUGGUUUGGGACCGAUAGGAAACAAGUACCAUGAGGGAAAGGUGAAAAGGACUUUGGAAAGAGAGUUAAAAGUGCCUGAAAUUGCUGAAGGGGAAGCGAAUGGAACCAGUGGUGCUGGGUGAGAUUGUCACAUGCUGCAAGGAUUGGUUGCUGCCACAACGCAAGUGUGCUGGCAAUUUGUGAACUGCUAGUGUGUGGUGUGUCUUACCUAGUGGGUCAUUGUGGGUUUAUGCAUUAAGAUAAAUCAAAGCAAGCGGGAGCAAGUUUACGAGUUUGUGAAUGUGUGUUGUUAUGCUUGUGCGUAAGCUUUAGUGUUUGUCUGGCUGCAGGGCUGUCCAUCCUCAAGCUUUGCUGUGGUUGCGAUGAGCAUAACCUUCUGCACAGAUCUUGACGAAAUGGUUUCAUUCGACCCGUCUUGAAACACGGACCAAG